rnacentral:misc_RNA from 1 species
UGGCGAUUAACAACUAUUCACUGGAUCCGACUUCUGAUGUAAGACAUUUUGGAAGAGUACUCUGUAAAAGGAAGAGAUUAGACAUUUAAAAUGAUAAAAGCCUUUGCAAUCUGGAUGUAUGGGGCAAUCCAAUUGGGUUAAAUUUUUGCAUGAUGUUUAUGGGAUAAGUCCUAAUAAUAGGUGGAGAAUUCCUAUUUGUAAGCUCUCUUGUUGCUAGGUACCUUAUGUCCUAGCUGACAAUUAUAGAUGCUUUCGACAAUCUAACAAUUUUGAUAAGGGUUCGAGACGAUAAAAGUGUGAUCUUGAGUGUAUUUAUAUUGUAACUAGAGUAAAUGUGAAUUUGGGAUGCACAUCUCUCAGCCUGAGAUUCCAUUCCCAACCCGACCAACUGCAAAUUUGAACAGGUCAAGAAACCUGUCGUUCAUGCCAUACCAGACCGAUGUAUAAGUUUCUCAUCCAACAGGUCUAGCAAACCGCUGUCCGGCUGAUCCAAUGAUCCUGAACAAUUUAACUAGAAAGGAACAGAUUAGCUAUUUGUACCACCAUGUUCAUCCUCUCAGAUUUUCAGCAGCCUCAGUUUACUUGUCAUAUAAAUAUGAAUCUAUUUGUUGAGGAUUAUUGUCUUUAUUUUUUCUUUUUGCUAUAAAUUAGGAUAAAUUUGAAUCAGUUGCUCAUAAAAACCAAUUGUCUGGUCAGGCACCUGGAGGGUUGGCGGUGUACUAGCUAUGUCACGUGCUUUUGGUAACCGCAUGUUGAAGCAAUUUGUUGUAGCAGAACCUGAGAUA